AUGAACGCUAGCGGCAGGCUUAACACAUGCAAGUCGAGGGGUAUAGUUCUUCGGAACUAGAGACCGGCGCACGGGUGCGUAACGCGUAUGCAAUCUACCUUUUACAGAGGGAUAGCCCAGAGAAAUUUGGAUUAAUACCUCAUAGUAUGUGAGAAUCGCAUGAUUUUCACAUUAAAGUUCCAACGGUAAAAGAUGAGCAUGCGUCCCAUUAGCUAGAUGGUAAGGUAACGGCUUACCAUGGCGACGAUGGGUAGGGGUCCUGAGAGGGAGAUCCCCCACACUGGUACUGAGACACGGACCAGACUCCUACGGGAGGCAGCAGUGAGGAAUAUUGGACAAUGGGCGCAAGCCUGAUCCAGCCAUGCCGCGUGCAGGAUGACGGUCCUAUGGAUUGUAAACUGCUUUUGUACAGGAAGAAACACUCCCUCGUGAGGGAGCUUGACGGUACUGUAAGAAUAAGGAUCGGCUAACUCCGU
rnacentral:rRNA from 1 species